UUGAAAGGGAAACGAUUGAAGUCAGUCGUACCAGCGGGAAAUCAACCUUUCGAGUGGUGUUUUGGAGUUUUGAAGUGUGUCAAAACCUUUGAGAUUUUAAAAUUUUCGCUCUUUUGGUGUACUUUCUCGUGGGUAGGUUAACAUCGAUUUUGAUCAUCAUAAAAAGACUGGAGGAAUGUAGCUUCGAUCUUGUAUUGAAGUGUUAUAGCCUUUGGUAAAUGUGAUGAUUAGGAUCGAGGAUUGCAACGAAUACCCUUCUGGGCUAUCCGCCUGAUCUCUGAUACGUGGCCUUGGCAUCGAAAGCUUGCUUAUGGUAUCAAGGUAUUACGGUCAAAAGGUUAGAACGGAUUACAUUCGAUUAAGGAUGUUGACGUA
rnacentral:rRNA from 1 species